GGGAAAUGUGUGAAUGCAAGACUGUGGUGAGCUCCAGCUGAUCCCUGCUAAGGAAAUGUCAGGCACUUGGUAUCACAGUGCAGCUAGGCUGUGCACAUGAAGAUAGACUCCCUGCCCUGGGGAAGAUCCAAGAUAAGCAGAGAAGCGACAUACAAAUGGCAAGGGGGAGAGAGCGAUCUAAUCGCCUGGCCGCAAGCUCUGUGCAUUAAGAUAGUGAAGGCAUACACAGAAGAGGAAAGCUGCUUUCUGCUGGGAGAGGUGGAGCUUUUGAAACCAUAUGGCUGUGGUGGCACAGGGGACACCAUAUAGGGCUUCUGUUGGUGUUACAACACCCUCGGGCUGCUGAGCAAUGCACCUGUGAAGCUGAGGUGACCAAUUCUGCUCCUGCACCUUGUAGGAUGCUGUGGUGUGUGCCCAAGAGGAAGGAGGAGCUACCUUCCAUCUCAUUACAGGAGGUAAGAGGCACAGAACAACAUUUGGAAGGUAUGAAGAAAACUAGUCAGUAUGAUGCAGUGGAAUACAUCAACAAGCAAGCCAACCAAUGUGAGUUUCUGAGAAAGCUGGGGAACUCAAAAAGAAACCACAAUUGCAGCAUGUCUGUCUACAUUCCCCACUACUCUUCAUCCCUGAAAUAAAAAACAGAACAGAGGAAGAAGUAGGCAGUGUGCCUUUGGAAAUCCUGCUUGUCAGGCUCUGCUCAAGUCCCUGGGAAGAGAUAAAACUAGCAAGAAAACAGAAGAAGUGAAGGGCAGCCAAAGGGGCAUCAGAUAAGAUGAGUUCUGUGCUUAAGAGGAAGCAGACCCCAUUUUAAAGAGAGUACUGAAAUAAAUUGUUGUGAAAUGAGAAUGAUGCA
rnacentral:lncRNA from 1 species